rnacentral:lncRNA from 1 species
UGACGUCGUCAUUGGUGGUGUUAAAUCAACGAUUUACCAUUGAAACUUGUGAAAGAAAUUUCUUGGUUUUUUUUUCUUUGUUUCUAGAAAAUGAUUUAUCAUUAAUACCACCAUCAUCACUGCACUGAUAUCAUCAAUGCGGAAAUCGAUUCAACUCCCGAUGCCGCCAUUGAUGGUGUUAAAUUAAAGAAAAAAAUGGAAUUUUGCUUCUUUGAAAGGAAAUAUUGGUCCUUCAAAAUGCAAAGUUGUUGAAAAAAAUCAAAAAAGACACACUCCAAAAGGUAUUAUACAUAUGUAUCUUAUUGAAAAAUUUGACAAAUACAUAAUUUUUGUUAUUGAGAUACAUAAAUAACAUCAUUUUCAUGCAUGAGAUAUAAUUUUAAUUAUGUAUAUCUCUUCAAUCUAAAUGUAUAGAGACCAAAUAGAUUAAAAAUGGAUGUAUCUCCACAAUAAAAUUUGAUGUUGAGAUAUACAAUUAACAUUAAUUUCAUGCAUGAGAUAUAAUUUUAAGGCACAAUACAUAAACAUGUACGUCGAAGAAAAGAGAAUCUGACACUUCUAGAUAAAAAGAUGUUUCGAAAAAAAAAGUUGUUGAAGUCACAAUGAGAGACAUCUUACCAAGGGUUCAGCAAUUUUUGUAUCUGGGGAUUUUAAUUCAAGAUACAUUUUUUAUUAGUUGAAGAUACAUAAUUUAGCUUAGUUCUAUAUGCAUGCUUUAGGUGCAUAUUCGUGUAUUUGUACAUCUGAUACAUUUUUUUGAUAUGCGUCUCUUUCAUAUACAUAUAUGUAAUUAGGAGGUUUCUGUAGAUAUCUCCGCACCUGAUACAUUCUUAUAUUGUGUAACUCUUAGACAUUUGCAUUUCAAAUCUCAUUUUUUAUACUGAUACAUCAUGUCUUACCAUGAAACGUUUUUAAUAAAUAUUUGUAUCUCUUUUUUCAGGGUUUGAAAUUCCUUGAAAAGUGUUGAAAAGGGAAAAUAACACCAAGAAAAAGGGAGAAAAUCUAAAGAAGAAUGAAUCUGAAAGUUGAAUAUGGAGAAGAAUAUUUUAAAAAAUUGCAUUAUUAACUAAAUGCCAUUUUUUGGAGAUAUUUAGAUGUUAAUUAGAAGGUCU